rnacentral:rRNA from 1 species
AGUAUGUGGUUUAAUUCGACGACUAACGCGCAGAACCUUACCUGGUCUUGACAUCUCGGGAAUCAUUUAGGAAACAUAUGAGUGCCUCGCAAGAGGAGCCCGAUGACAGGUGCUGCAUGGCUGUCGUCAGCUCGUGUCGUGAGAUGUUGGGUUAAGUCCCGCAACGAGCGCAACCCUUGUCUUUAGUUGCCAUCAUUAAGUUGGGGCACUCUAAAGAGACUGCCGGUGUCAAACCGGAGGAAGGUGGGGAUGACGUCAAGUCCUCAUGGCCUUUAUGACCAGGGCUACACACGUACUACAAUGGCAGGUACAAAGGGCAGCCACUUAGCGAUAAGGAGCGAAUCCCGUAAAACCUGUCUCAGUCCGGAUUGGAGUCUGCAACCCGACUCCAUGAAGUUGGAAUCGCUAGUAAUCGCAGAUCAGCACGCUGCGGUGAAUACGUUCCCGGGCCUU